AGCAAAGUGAUGAGAUUUUAAUAUCUGAAUCUGAUGUGGAAUCAUCAUUUCAAAUGGUCUUCAAAGUUCUCUGAUUGCU
rnacentral:snoRNA from 1 species